rnacentral:rRNA from 1 species
GACGAACGCUGGCGGCGUGCUUAACACAUGCAAGUCGAACGGUAAGGCCCUUCGGGGUACACGAGUGGCGAACGGGUGAGUAACACGUGGGUGAUCUGCCCUGCACUUCGGGAUAAGCCGGGGCAACUGGGUCUAAUGCCGGAUAGGACUCCUGGCUUCAUGGUUGGGGGUGGAAAGCUUUUGCGGUGUGGGAUGGGCACGGGGCCUAUCAGCUUGUUGGUGGGGUAAAGGCGUACCAAGGCGACGACGGGUAGCCGGCCUGAGAGGGUGACCGGUCACACUGGGACUGAGAUACGGCCCAGACUCCUACGGGAGGCAGCAGUGGGGAAUAUUGCACAAUGGGCGCAAGCCUGAUGCAGCGACGCCGCGUGAGGGAUGACGGCCUUCGGGUUGUAAACCUCUUUCAGCUAUGACGAAGCGCAAGUGACGGUAGUAGCAGAAGAAGGACCGGCCAACUACGUGCCAGCCGCCGCCGUAA